GAUAGAGAUAUAUUACUACCUUCUACUGUCAGUAAUUAGCUGUCAAUAAUCUGAAGCUGUCCCAAUAUACUCGAUAAGUCAUUCUUAUCGCCUUAUAUUGGGACGCGUGAAUUUCAAUUUCCAUACAAACUUCUAUCGCUGGUAAGCUAUACGUCCUCCCAUUGACAGGCAGCCUGUACGGAUAAGAUAGUUUUUGCAGCUGUGCUAGCCAGCCAUAUGUGCUUAGCCAAUCCAAUCCCAGAGCCGGAUCCCUUCUACAGCCACAAAACAACUCACGUAAGAAUCCACGUUCCAUACGAAGUAAGGAACGUACAUCACC